GAUGAAGAACGCAGCGAAAUGCGAUAAGUAAUGUGAAUUGCAGAAUUCAGUGAAUCAUCGAAUCUUUGAACGCACCUUGCGCCCUUUGGCUAUUCCGAAGGGCAUGCCUGUUUGAGUAUCAUGAACACCUCAACUCUCGUGGCUUGCCAUGAUGAGCUUGGACUUUGGGGGUUUUGCUGGCCUAUGGCCGGCUCCUCUCAAAUGAAUUAGCUUGCCAGUGUUUGGUGGCAUCACAGGUGUGAUAAAUAUCUACGCUUGUGGUUUUCCACCAGGUAACCUUCAGUGGAUGGAGGUUCGCUGGGGCUCAUAAACGUCUCUCCUCAGUGAGGACAGCUCUUUGAACGUUUGAUCUCAGAUCAGGUAGGACUACCCGCUGAACUUAAGCAUAUCAAUAAGCGGAGGA
rnacentral:misc_RNA from 1 species